GGCAACCACAAUUGGUAUAACACGUCCUGUUCUACGAUUCCCAGUUCCUGUAAUAAUUCAAUCUCGUCGACAGUUCUCAAAUGUACCGGAGUUCCCGAUGGCUGCACAGUUGAAAUAUUUUGUAUUUAGUUAUCGAUAAUUCGGUCUUCGAGACAGUUUCGGACAUCGAAUCUGUCCAGAAAAUUACAAAGGGCAUCGUGGAUAUGGUUAGAAGCGUAGAAAGCAGUGGUGCGGACCGGCCUUUUCCAGAGUUUGCCAACUAUGAGUGAACCUAUCGCAACGACAAAUUUCCUCAUCUAACUUUCUACGCCGAGAUGAGAUGAUCGCUCAAUGCCACCAUCACCGGCGCUGCUAUCUUCACUAUAACUCCACUCAUCCACCAACCUGUUCCCCUCUCCUGUUCUUCUUCUUCCUCUACUACACCUUCGAGAAAAUUAAUGAUGGAAUCCGAGAGUUUUCUAUAGGGAACUUCAACGUUAGAUCCCCUAGCCCGGAAGAAAUUCGCAAAGAAGGUGGAAUGGAAAGCAACGACAAUGGAUUUUUCUCGGCGCUCGAUCCGUGAAUGGGUACCGCUUUUAUCCCUUUUCUGGUUCCGUUGCUUUUCCGUACAGCUUACGCCGGGACCAAAUAUCAUGACUCGAGUCGUAUAAAUUAUCUUACGAUUGGUCAAUCCUUAUCCGUUCCUUAUGCCAAUCUAACACAUGUAAUGUGUAAUAAACGUAAGAAAGCAGCAUUAAGUACAUAUCGUUUGAGGAUUCCAGUAGGAAGACAAGCAGUAUAGGUACAUUUUUCUUGUUUCUCCGACGUUAACGUCACUGUACCUGUACUUAAAUUAGGCAAUUUUCGCGUGACAUAAUUGUACAUUUUUUUCAAAUAUCCGAUACGUUGACCAAAUUUUGAAGAAACUUGCGAAAGGGUAUAAUUGUUAAACGAGCGUUAUUUUACAAAUUUCGAAUAUAUUCUCCUAUAAAACUAGGUAAAAACAAGCAUAUAAAUAAGAAUAUUUUCUCUCUAUAACUCGUGCGAAUCCUCAUACGUACUCGUACUUGUUACUACUUAUUUUUAAAUUUAAAAAAUUAUAUAUACGUAAUGUAAACAAAAAGGGAAUAUACAGUUUUGCCACGAAAUAAGCAACUCGCCAUCUCCUCUUCUUCGUUUGAACUUGCCGACAGAAUGAGAGAUCGGAAAACGAGCGAAAGGUCCGUGAAAUUGAGAAGCCAUAAAUUUUUACGAUCGAACGAGCAGCGUCGUUGUUUGGUAAAAGACGAAUAAAGAGCGUAUAACGCUUUCUCACUCUAGUAUUAGCGAUUCCGACGUGUUCUUUAUGCUGUAUCUCUAUGCUGUAUAUCCGAUCCCGAACGUGUUGUUUAUUUCGAAACAAAACUGUAGAAUUUCAUUGAAAUUAUCGGACGUACUUAUUUCCUUUAUUUUCAAAAUAAAAGAACUUGCAAAUUUAA